AUACGCAAGCGUUUAGAGAUCCUGAGACCUCAUCUUCCGAGACGAUCACCAUGUUUGCUGUGAAAGUAGUUUGCCUCUUUGCCACCAUCGCUAUGCUUGCUGCAAUGGUGGCUGCGGACCCUCAGAAUGAAAAUUAUUGUGUAUUUGACUAUGACGGCAAUCCCAGGUGUUAAAAAAGAUAAAGAGAUGCCAGGAAUCCCCUCAAGACUUUAAUCAUUAAAAACACUGUGUAUUCAAAUUUUAAUAAAGUAGUCAUGCACACUUA